rnacentral:rRNA from 1 species
CAGAGGGUGCGAGCGUUAAUCGGAAUUACUGGGCGUAAAGCGCGCGUAGGCGGCUUUGCAAGUCGGGUGUGAAAUCCCCAGGCUUAACCUGGGAACUGCAUUCGAGACUGCAUUGCUAGAGUAUGGGAGAGGGAAGUGGAAUUUCCUGUGUAGCGGUGAAAUGCGUAGAUAUCGGAAGGAACAUCAGUGGCGAAAGCGACUUCCUGGACCAAUACUGACGCUCAUGUGCGAAAGCGUGGGGAGCAAACAGGAUUAGAUACCCUGGUAGUCCACGCCAUAAACGAUGAGAACUGGAUGUCGGGAGGGUCUGCCUCUCGGUGUCGUAGCUAACGCGUUAAGUUCUCCGCCUGGGGAGUACGGCCGCAAGGUUG